GACGAACGCUGGCGGCGUGCUUAACACAUGCAAGUCGAACGGAAAGGCCUGCUUUCCCUUGUGGAUUGCGGGUGCUCGAGUGGCGAACGGGUGAGUAACACGUGAGUGAUCUGCCCCCAACUUGGGUAUAAGCCUGGGAAACUGGGUCUAAUUCCCGAUAGGACUGCAGGGUGGUGCCUGUGGUGGAAAACGAUUUUCUAGUGGUUGGGGAUGAGCUCGCGGCCUAUCAGCUUGUUGGUGGGGUAAUGGCCUACCAAGGCGGCGACGGGUAGCCGGCCUGAGAGGGUGGACGGCCACAUUGGGACUGAGAUUCGGCCCAGACUCCUACGGGAGGCAGCAGUGGGGAAUAUUACACAAUGGGCGGAAGCCUGAUGCAGCGACGCCGCGUGGGGGAUGACGGCCUUCGGGUUGUAAACUCCUUUCGACCGCGAGGAAGCCACCUGGUUGGAAGGGUGGUGACGGUAGUGGUAGAAGAAGCACCGGCUAACUACGUG
rnacentral:rRNA from 1 species